AGGCCAUUGCUAUCGGAGUCCGAUUUAGCCAUGCUAGUUGCACGAGUUUAGACUCGUAGCAUAUAGCUCAGUAACACGUGGCCAAACUACCCUACAGACCGCGAUAACCUCGGGAAACUGAGGCCAAUAGCGGAUAUAACUCUCAGGCUGGAGUGCCGAGAGUUAGAAACGUUCCGGCGCUGUAGGAUGUGGCUGCGGCCGAUU
rnacentral:rRNA from 1 species